rnacentral:rRNA from 1 species
GGCUCUGGCCAUAUCAGCCUGAAGGCGCCCGAUCUCAUCUGAUCUUGGAAGCUAAGCAGGGUUGGGCCUGCUUAGUAAAAAAAAAAAAAAAAGUGAUGGUAGGGCUGCAUUCU